AUAAUGUACUUAAUUUAGUUUUAAUCUGAAUAAUACUUUUUGUUGUGGUUUCAGCAGUUCUAGUUCUGUGUCCAUACAAUCCUCAUUGCACAUAGAUUGAUAGUUUACAAGUAAAUAAUGUGUUACAGGCAAAAUAGUUAUUCUAAUUUCUUGGCCCACCUCUGGUUUUUAUUUCUUGAAGUAGGAGAAAGAUUACUUUAAAUGUGCUUCUUAAUCAAUAUCAGAAUUGUUGUUUUACAGUAUGAGAAAACUGUUGUCACUUUGUGGUCAACAUUUUUCUUUGAACAGGCAACUGACUUUAUGCUCUGCAUGUUUCACAGAUUUAAAAGAAAUCAGGUGGAUGAUCCCAGUUCUCUACAUUAAGAGUGUCUUCUGUAUGACCCAUGGGCAGCAAUGGAAAUCAAAGGAACAGCAAAUGAAACUGCAAAUUGCUAAACUAGAGAUGGCUAUCAAAUCUGAUUUAGCAGACAAAAAUGCAAUCCUUGACAAGAUCAAAGUAGAAAGAGGAAGUUGA
rnacentral:lncRNA from 1 species